UAAUUCCAACCGUGCUGCAUUC
rnacentral:piRNA from 1 species